CUGUAUUUCAGUAGUCUUCUAGUUCAACGGUAUCUUCAACGGAUUCUCAACCUCUGGAACUGCGCAACUAAAUCUGUUCCAAAAGAGCGAGACCCCUGCUGAGAAGUGUCUUCCCUGGGUAUACUUGCUCACAUCUGGAAGUUCUGAAUCAUCUGCUCUGGCAGCCACGAUGACACAGGCUCUGUCCAGCCGAAUUCAGGCGAAGGGUCAAGCGUAGAUGACGACUUCUCUGGACAUUUCUUUCUAACAAUCCUACAGUAAACGUGACUUUAUUUUCCUUUUUUUAUUUACAAACUAUCAACAAACGAAAGAAAAACAAAUCUCAUGGCAGCAUGACACCACCAAGAAAUGACUGUCGCUGUGGGACGUGUUA